rnacentral:rRNA from 1 species
CUCCGGGAAACCGGGGCUAAUACCGGAUGCUUGUUUGAACCGCAUGGUUCAAACAUAAAAGGUGGCUUCGGCUACCACUUACAGAUGGACCCGCGGCGCAUUAGCUAGUUGGUGAGGUAAUGGCUCACCAAGGCGACGAUGCGUAGCCGACCUGAGAGGGUGAUCGGCCACACUGGGACUGAGACACGGCCCAUACUCCUACGGGAGGCAGCAGUAGGGAAUCUUCCGCAAUGGACGAAAGUCUGACGGAGCAACGCCGCGUGAGUGAUGAAGGUUUUCGGAUCGUAAAGCUCUGUUGUUAGGGAAGAACAAGUACCGUUCGAAUAGGGCGGUACCUUGACGGUACCUAACCAGAAAGCCACGGCUAACUACGUGCCAGCAGCCGCGGUAAUACGUAGGUGGCAAGCGUUGUCCGGAAUUAUUGGGCGUAAAGGGCUCGCAGGCGGUUUCUUAAGUCUGAUGUGAAAGCCCCCGGCUCAACCGGGGAGGGUCAUUGGAAACUGGGGAACUUGAGUGCAGAAGAGGAGAGUGGAAUUCCACGUGUAGCGGUGAAAAUGCGUAGAGAUGUGGAGGAACACCAGUGGCGAAGGCGACUCUCUGGUCUGUAACUGACGCUGAGGAGC